rnacentral:tRNA from 1 species
GGGGAUGUAGCUCAGAUGCUAAAGCGCUCGCUUAGCAUGCGAGAGGUACGGGGAUCGAUACCCCGCAUCUCCA